UACGGGGGGAGCAAGCGUUGUUCGGAUUUACUGGGCGUAAAGGGCGCGUAGGCGGUCGUGACAAGUCACUUGUGAAAUCUCCGGGCUUAACUCGGAACGGUCAAGUGAUACUGUCGGACUAGAGUACAGAAGGGGCAACUGGAAUUCUCGGUGUAGCGGUGAAAUUCGUAGAUAUCGGGAGGAACACCAGUGGCGAAGGCGGCGAUCUGGGAAGAUACUGACGCUGAGGUGCGAAAGCGUGGGGAGCAAACAGG
rnacentral:rRNA from 1 species